GGGCAGGGACCCACACAAAAAAGAAAAGAAGUGAAAAACAGAAAAAACAAAGGAAAACACGAUCAGCAUUAAAAAGGAGGGGGAAUUAUACAGAAAAAGAUGGUUCAUUAUUUUAUAGAAUAGAAAAGGGGAAAGAAACAAAAUAUAGAUAGAGAGAGAGGACACGGACAGAGGCCCCAAAGCAAAAAACAAACAAAAACAACGAUCUUCAUCUUCUCCAUUUUAUUUUUUUUACUCGAAACCUCCAUCUCCUCCUUCACCCGUCUCCACCCCCCCCCCUCCCCCCCACCAUUUCUCCACCAUCCAAACACCACCACCGCAUCAUCUCCUUCAUCACUUCACCGGAAAAUCCAAAAAAAAAAAAAAACAGCAACCAAACGCCCCUUUUCUUUUCUUUUUUCUUUUUCUUUUUCACCUGUAAACACAACCCUAAGCGCUUUAAACCGCCUAUAAACUCCACCCUAUUCCCGUCACCACCUCAAACCAACAACCCACCAUCACUCUCCACCGUCAUCAUCCUUCACUGCCACCAUCCCAAACAGACCAUUGAACCCACUUGAAAACCCUACUAAAACCAGUCGCAUAAACAGACCCUAUUUUCUUUGAAACACCCUGUCUUUGUCGAGGUUUCGGUUGAAGUUUUUGUUUGGGGUCGUUGGCUUCUUGACGUUUUAUUUCUUUGCUGCUGGGUUUUAUUCGUAGUUGAGAGUUUGGGAAUUGCUUCUUGUUUCAACUGGUGUUCAGUUAAUUAAGGGGAAUUUUUGGCUACAAAGAUUUUGGACGAAACGGGAAGUGAACUUGGGAAGGCGUGAAGUGCGUAAAAGGUACAAAAGACAGAUUUGCUGACCGCCUGCCUAGGACAUCUAUUCUGCUAUUUUGGGAGUGCUCUUUUGUCCAGAGCCUAUAUGUUGGUACAGUCUGCUGCUAUUGUAUUUAUGUAUGCUGUUCAGGGGUAUGACGGGGCCCUGUCCCGUCUUAUGAUUCUGUUAUGUUCUGUAGAGGUCUGUAGACAUACUUGCGUGGGUUCGGUAUAUGUUUUGGGUUGCUAUGA